rnacentral:lncRNA from 1 species
ACUAAGUCCUCAAACAGUAAUAUGAUGCCGAUGACCAAGUAAAAGGGUCUGCCGAUGACUAUGGCAAGGGAAUUGCCGAUGACGCAAAGGAGGAGUCCGGAAGCUGCCAGUUGUCAUGUGGAGGAGUUCCGGUUUGUCACGAAGGAUGGUUUUAUUGUUUCCUUAUGUUAUUCGUAUCGUUUUGUAUACGGGUUCCGUGUAAUUUAGAAUUCGAAUUCUAAUCGUGUCUGGUCGUAGCUCUUUGAGCAGGGUAUAAAUAUAAGCCCUAAGACCUUGUAAUCAGGACAUCUAUCAAUCAA